rnacentral:snRNA from 1 species
ACCAUAAACGUAAUUCCGUUAAG